rnacentral:rRNA from 1 species
AUUGAACGCUGGCGGCAUGCCUUACACAUGCAAGUCGAACGGCAGCACGGGUGCUUGCACCUGGUGGCGAGUGGCGAACGGGUGAGUAAUACAUCGGAACGUACCUUAUCGUGGGGGAUAACGCAGCGAAAGCUGUGCUAAUACCGCAUACGCCCUGAGGGGGAAAGCGGGGGAUCGCAAGACCUCGCGCGAUUAGAGCGGCCGAUGCCUGAUUAGCUUGUUUGUGGGGUAAAAGCCCACCAAGGCGACGAUCAGUAGCUGGUAUGAGAGGACGUUCGGCCACACGGGGACUGAGACACGGCCCAGACUCCUACGGGAGGCAGCAGUGGGGAGUUUUGGACAAUGGGGGCAACCCUGAUCCAGCAAUGCCGCGUGGGUGAAGAAGGCCUUCGGGUUGUAAAGCUCGUUUGUCAGGGAAGAAACACCGGCUCUAACACAGUCCGGGAAUGACGGUACCUGAAGAAUAAGCACCGGCUAACUACGUGCCAGCAGCCGCCGUAA